GACCACCGCACGCAAUCUCCCCUCCUCCUACUCGCUCUCGCCGCGCCGCUCCACCUAUCCGCUCUCCUUCGUUUAUGUGCGACGGCGGCGGCUGAUUGAUGUGGGACGUGGCGGUAGCGACGACGGCCUCAAGCAGGGAUAUGAGGAUGAAGGAAUAUUGUCCAAGAUCCCUGAGGAGCACGAGGUGGGGAGCCAGAAUAGAUCGGCGCCAGGGCGUGAGGACCAUGCCGUCAUCACGGCGAGCCCAAGCCAGCAUCCUAUUGGGCUUUCUGACGCGGUUCAGCAUCAUGGUGGCGCGGAGUAAGGCCUUCUUUGACUCCAGGUCGGCCGCAAACACGACAUCCAGAUGAAGCCCGGCUGUUCAGGCAUCUGGAUCGGCCGCUGCUCCCUCGCUGACUACGACGACGGGCUCAUCAACAUCACACACCAGAGCACCGUCAUCAUCGUAUCUAGAUCAUCGAUACUACCUCGUCGAAGUCACACGGGACCCAGUGCUUCACACUACCUCCAAAGCAUUCGAAGCAGGUGUCCGCGUACAUGGUAUAAUUGUCCCCUGCACAUAUAUCACCAUACAUUCAAAUGAAGAACGAAAGCGUCUAAAAGAUUCUGAAGCUUCAUUCUGGAAUUACAUGAAUCUGGGGCUGACUGAGGGAGAUCAAAAUGGUACUAGAUGGUAACAUUAGGUUGUAUGCCUGCAGUGAUGGUUAAUCAAGAUCGAUCAAAGGCUAUGUUCAGGUAGAUAAAUUGAUCUUUACCAUGCCGUAUCAGUUCAUCUAUUAAGUUGUUGUAGUACUCCAAGCCCUACACUGUCAGCGUGACAUUGAGUACCAUGAAUUUUCAGAGAUGCACUACUGUACUGGACAAUGUGCUUUCUCAUCAAUUUAUAAUAAUUAAGAGGCCUGUGACAUGUGUUUUAGUUUCUAAUAGAAACACAAAAUAUGUCUAUUUCACUUUUUAGACAAAUUUUUUUAUUGUGUGAAAUGCACAAAGCAAAUGCAUUAUGACCCGAUGUUUUAAUUUAUAGGAACAUGUAUAAAUUGUGAGUUGCUUUUGGUAUUCUUACAUGGUUACCGAUUUAGUUAUCAGGCAAGAUUUCUUGCGUUCUGUGCCUUUGUGUUUUCUUGUUCAAACUUUAAUGAUGGCUUGGAAAUUCCUGGUAACUUUGGUUAACAAUGAGGGUACAAUCGACUACAAUUAAUUUGCUUUUCUAUUGCCGGGUAACCUUAUGUCAUCAUUUUCUGACUAUUUUUAUGCUGAUAGUAUCUGGUCCAGAGCCGAUGGAGACAAGCAACAUCAUGAUGCUGCUAUAUCUUAGUGGUCUUUAUUUCACAAAUAGUGAUCUACUUCUUAUCUGUUCUAGGCGUCGUUGUCGUGACUUGCUUGGCAUUACUCUGAUAUCCGUUAGGCAGUGGUAACCUUCUUUUGAUGGUUGUAGACACACAUCUUCAGUCACACGUACACCAUAUGAGGUAUUGAAUAACCUAUCCUCUCAUUUUUAUCGUCAUUGCCAUAACUUUUACCGGCUUCUCAUCAAAGUUCUUGCCUCUGAGCCCACUCUCUGCCAUGGUGUGCUGAUCUGCUCGUUUUACAUUAUGUGUUUGUUUGUCUGUUUGUGUGAACUUUCAGUUUUCCAGAAGUUUUUGUUAAAGCAUGCCACUUCUAUCUUUGUAUAUACUAUAAGCUAAACUCAAGUAGAAGUAGUAUUAUCCAGUUAUCUAUUUGCAAUUCAAUUAUUUAGUUAUUUUAGGAGCAUUAGUUCAUUGAUUUAAUGAAUUUUUUAGCACUCAAAACAGCAGGAGAGGCUCCCGCUGCUAUGUUUUAAAUUUUUGAGAAAUAAUUACAUAAUGCCUGUAUGCCCACCAAUUGGUGGCAGAAAUGGUCUUUUUUGUUGCGAAAGGGCAGAAAGGGAUUUACAAAUAAAACAAGGCCAAGUAUACAAAAAAUAUACAAGGGUAAGCAAGACUACAAAUAGGAAUGUAAGCUUGAAGUGAUGUGAUCAGGUCUUGAAGGUGUUCUUGAUUUUCAGUUCUGGCCUUGAACUUCAGAAUCCCUAGGUCUGAUGUUAGUGCUCUCUUCCAACUGAGCAAUAUGCAGAGCCUCUGGUACGCGGCUCUGUCGCCGCCACCUGCUACUUUAAGUCGGCCAACGGCCUCGCUGGAAACUGGGGCUUAUCCAUAUCCCGACUCAAUCUCCGCGUCGCCCUCCUCGCUGGUGUACAGCCAUAUAUUGUUGUGGAUUUUAGGUUGGAUGCUCACAUAAGAGGUGAUCUGAUUUUGCUAUCGCUCGUCUCUCCUUGUAGAUUUUUGCUCAUGCUCGGAUGUGUCCAAGUGUUGAUUUUUGUUCAUGUGUGGAAGCUGGACUAUGUCUAUAUGUACAUUUUUGUUCAUGCAAGAAUUUUUUAUUUGCUCAUUGCAUCAUGUUAUUAUCAUGUGUAGCUCGUCAUUUACCCAAAAUAUUGUUCUUCCAUUUGGGCAAGCUUUAGUUGCGGAUGCAUCUUUGCGUGCUUGUUCUGCUUGAGCCCGCCGCCUCGCCGUGAAGCCCUCUGCUGCAGCCUCUCACUUCACUGUCGACGACACUCUGCUUCAACCCGUCUCUGUCCAGUACCGGACAAACCUGUUGUAAAGAAAGCAACAGAUGAUUUCACUCUGCAAUAGACACCUGCUUAAUAAGUAACAAUGCACACAACACCAACCUCGAUGAGUGCCCAAUCUGCUUCUCGGUCGGCCCCCAUUCCCUGAGUUGUUCCUCCAAUGGAUCCAUCAAUAGAUGGAUGCAGAAUUCUGACUACCGGUCAGUUCCCUUUCCCGAAUAUCUUGUUCCUCCAAUGGGUCCAUCAAUAGAUAGAUACAGAAAUCUGACUACCCCCCCCCCCCGCGCGCCUUGAUUGCAGUCUAGUGUUGCGCCAAUUGUAAGUCUCAUUGUUGGUCAAGGAUACAUGGUUGUUCUAAUUGCACAUGCAUCUUCAACGUUACCCUGGUUAUCGUUGUUUUCAGAAGCGGGAAUUGGUUUAACAAUUUACUCUCUUUUGAGAAAAUCGCUAGUUGCAGAACAUUUUAUUUCUGUAUCAUGUACUGUUUGGCAUUUUCCAUUUAAAAUGGAAGGAUUACCUCCUACACUGCAGGUUAUCUUAUUUGUUCUUAGUUAUUUGUUUCCAGUAAGCAUGAAUUGAAUGAUCACGUAAGCGAUACCACUUGAUAUUGUUCAAAAAAUGAAAGUAUGCCCUGACUGAAGAUUUUAGCUUUCUUUUUCUUCAGAAGAUAGAAGGUUUCUGGCUUGUUAACAACAAUAUAAGUUCUAUGAUCUGCUACCCUUGUAUAUUUUGUCUUUGGUUAGACCAGAAGUUAUUGACCUUGGUCAGUAGAUCACUCAGUUGUGGAUGAAAUGCUUCUUUCUAGAUGUUUAGUCCAUCAAGUACUAUGAAUCAUUUGGCUUCCAUUCAUGUUUUUUCAGACACUUGAGAUGGAGGCCUGAUUGUUGCAGUUUCAAUAGCUCAGGGAGCACCUCCUCGCUGGCAACCCCUUCGUCACCAAGCUUGUCGUGGAGUGCGUCGUGGGGUCAUCGCCAAUGUCUUCUUUAUUUUGAGAAGCAUCAUUCACCGCCUCUAGACAGGAUCGUCGGCGACCGCCACUGCCGCGUGUGGGAGCCAUGAACUCUGCCUUACCAUACAAGGAAUUGUGCCUCCACUUUUGGACAAUGUGCGAUAUGUAUACCAUUACCAAAACUGCUUACCCUUCCUUUUGAACCAGCUAGCAUAUAUGUAAUACAUAGUUUAACCAACUAUGCAGCUGAUUGCUACUUCUCCAAAUGAAACCUGCUUUCAACUCUAAUGAUCUGGAUUACUACUCAA